rnacentral:rRNA from 1 species
CCGUAGCCUUGUAGCGGGGGAGUAGCUAUUGGAAACGAUAGCUAAUACCGCAUAACAAUGGAUGACACAUGUCAUUUAUUUGAAAGGGGCAAUUGUUCCACUACAAGAUGGACCUGCGUUGUAUUAGCUAGUAGGUGAGGUAAUGGCUCACCUAGGCGACGAUACAUAGCCGACCUGAGAGGGUGAUCGGCCACACUGGGACUGAGACACGGCCCAG